rnacentral:rRNA from 1 species
AACGUAGGUGGCAAGCGUUUAUCCGGAAUUACUGGGCGUAAAGGGUGUGCAGGCGGGGCUGCAAGUGGUGUAUGAAAUCUCCCAGCUUAACUGGGAUAGGUUAUGCCAGACUGCAGUUCUAGAGGGACGAGAGAGGGGGGUGGAAUUCCGGGUGUAGCAGUGAAAUGCGUAGAGAUCGUAAGGAAGACCAGUGGCGAAGGCGGGGUCUCUGGACAGUUCCUGACGCUGAGGCACGAAGGCCAGGGGGAGCAAACGGGAUUAGAA